rnacentral:rRNA from 1 species
GACGAACGCUGGCGGCGUGCUUAACACAUGCAAGUCGAACGGAAAGACCCUGCCUUUGUGGGGUGCUCGAGUGGCGAACGGGUGAGUAACACGUGAGUAACCUGCCCUUGACUUUGGGAUAACUUCAGGAAACUGGGGCUAAUACCGGAUAGGAGCUCCUGCUGCAUGGUGGGGGUUGGAAAGUUUCGGCGGUUGGGGAUGGACUCGCGGCUUAUCAGCUUGUUGGUGGGGUAGUGGCUUACCAAGGCUUUGACGGGUAGCCGGCCUGAGAGGGUGACCGGCCACAUUGGGACUGAGAUACGGCCCAGACUCCUACGGGAGGCAGCAGUGGGGAAUAUUGCACAAUGGGCGGAAGCCUGAUGCAGCAACGCCGCGUGCGGGAUGACGGCCUUCGGGUUGUAAACCGCUUUCGCCUGUGACGAAGCGUGAGUGACGGUAAUGGGUAAAGAAGCACCGGCUAACUACGUG